UGUGUGUCUGUGCAUUUUCGCUUCUGUUUAUAACGUUUUCAGUUUUAUAGGUCAGUUAUAUAUCGUUAAAAGAAAACGAAAUGUGUCGUAAUUAUUAUCAAGCAGAACACAGUGUAGUGAAUAUACCAGAUAGUUGUAAACGACGGUUUACAAGACAAGCAGACCAAGUGCAUAUUCAAAUGGCGGUGGAGCACCGGAACAAGGUAAAGCAGCUGUUUUUUAAAGUAUGACGUCACCGAUGGCAAACGCAGGAAUGACAACAUCUCCGAAUUACCUUCAGGGGUGAUAUAAAAGCAUAGGUCGAGGGCCACGAGGUCAGCCAACAACAAACCCGGUGAUAUCAGAUUUGUGACAGCUAUCCGAGGUACUUAAUGAAUCAACGAAUACCUAAAAUAGUGUGGGGGAAAUGCCUCUACAGCCCCUGCACUGACCACUGAAGAAAUGAUAAGAAAUAGCGACUUCACACAUCCAUUAGCGGGGAAAAUGUCCGAAUCUACUAUUCGUGAAUGCCAUCGACGUUUAUCCAAAGAACAUAAAUCCAAGAAGUGACAUUAUCCCAGGACAGCAGGCUUAGUUGCAGAUCUUCAGGUAUUUCAGAAUCUCUAGAGAAAUGAUAGCAAAACGUCGGGCCAUGGCGUGACGCCCUAGAGACCUGAGAGAAUGUCAUUACAAACAGUACAAAACAACAUUGCCUUUGUAAACACGCUGCUUCACAAGGUUUUACAAUUUAGGGGAGUUUUUUUUAUAUCCUACUUUUUCUG